UGCAUUGUUUACCAAGAACAUGAUUGCUUACUGAAUUGAUGUAUUAUGAUAUGGUGGGUGAAUAUAUAUGUUGUUGUGAAUGUGUUGAUGGAUCUUGCUAUUAAGAGUCGUUGUGUCAUAGUUGACUAAGAGGUGGAGUAUGUCAUAAUUAAUUAUGUACAUUUGUUGUUGUCGUUGCUGUUGUUGAGUUGUAUGUAGAUAUACACAAGUGGAG
rnacentral:lncRNA from 1 species